UACGUAGGGUGCGAGCGUUAAUCGGAAUUACUGGGCGUAAAGGGCGCGUAGGCGGCCACCGCAAGUCGACUGUGAAAUCUCUGGGCUUAACCCAGAAAGGUCAGCCGAUACUGCGGGGCUAGAGUGCAGAAGGGGCAACUGGAAUUCUCGGUGUAGCGGUGAAAUGCGUAGAUAUCGAGAGGAACACCUGCGGCGAAGGCGGGUUGCUGGGCUGACACUGACGCUGAGGCGCGAAAGCUAGGGGAGCGAACGGG
rnacentral:rRNA from 1 species